CGAAUUUUUUCCAGCAAAGCGAGAGUCACAAGAGAAGACGUGAAACCUUACUAAACAACUGACGGAGGUUUGGGAGCUUUCCCUGCUAAUUCUGGAUUUGACGUAAUCUCGUGUCCUUUUUCUUCACAUCGUCAAAAUGCUGAGACUGGGUUUUGAAUUCGGAGUGUAUUCCUUCAAUCCCUUGUUCACAAUAGAAUCCAAGACCCAUGUGACUGCCGAAGGAAAGGGCACACAUGUUCUCGUAGCAUAUAUAGCUUUGGUGUGAUCAUCAUGUCUGGGAAUUUUUCCCUAAUGAACUGAAGAAAUUUGUGAUGUCUUCCUCUACAACAAGAACACAAGAAAAGGGGGAAGAGUGAGACAUGAUCCUAUUAUUGUAUUCAUGUUUUCCAUGAAAGGCAGUUAUUCUUUCACUUACCUGGCUUAUCAGUCUUGUCAUCAAUGAGCUAUUUAAGGGUAGAAGUUAUGUUACCUUGCAGCAAGUGUGUACAUGGUUACAAAUGAAUGAUUUUCCAUGUUAAGCUUGUCUCUCCACAUUCAUUUUCUUAAGAAUCUCAUCCAAAUGAAUUGGUAGUGGUCCAUUGGCUUUCUCAAAGGCAGCCAAUUCCAUUUGUUCAUCUGCAAGCUUUUCCUAUAAUGUUGAGAUGUACUAUUGAAAUAUGAACUACUUGAAAUAUGAACUACAUACUGUUCAGUAGCUAUAAUUUGAUGGGUUGUUAAAGUGAUUUGUGCUAGUGUAAUAUUAUAAAUCAAUAAACUAUAACACAGAAUCAUAGCUUCCUUCACUAAAAAAUUAAGAUAGGUUUGAAUCAUGUGUGAUGGAAUUGGAGGAUUGUACAGCAGUGAUACUGGAAAACACAAAUUGAGAAAAAAUUACCUCUUCCUUUGCAUUUCUAAGGAGUGUGUCUAUCUCCUCCUGUAGUAGUGUAAAGUAGGCUGGCAUGAUAUUUACACUAGAAUGCAGACUUUGUAAAUUCAGCAACUCCUGUAGAUAAAUUCUUUUAUCUUA